ACAGAGGGUGCGAGCGUUAAUCGGAAUUACUGGGCGUAAAGCGUGCGUAGACGGUUCUGUAAGUCGGAUGUGAAAUCCCCGGGCUCAACCUGGGAAUUGCAUUCGAAACUGCCGAGCUAGGGUGCGGUAGAGGGAAGCGGGAUUUCCGGUGUAGCGGUGAAAUGCGUAGAUAUCGGAAGGAACAUCAGUGGCGAAAGCGGCUUCCUGGACCAGCACCGACGUUCAGGCACGAAAGCGUGGGGAGCAAACAGGAUUAGAUACCCUGGUAGUCCACGCCAUAAACGAUGAGGACUAGACGUUGGGGGCUAUAAGCUCUCAGUGUCGUAGCGAACGCGCUAAGUCCUCCGCCUGGGGAGUACGGCCGCAAGGUU
rnacentral:rRNA from 1 species